rnacentral:rRNA from 1 species
AGCAGCCGCGGUAAUUCCAGCUCCAAUAGCGUAUAUUAAAGUUGUUGCAGUUAAAAAGCUCGUAGUUGAAUUUCGGGGUUCUAUCGUUGGUCGGGCUAUUGUCUGUACUGGCGUGUAGAAUUUCUACCUUCUGGGGAACUAUCAUGUUAUUUAUUUAGCGUGGUAGGAAACCAGGACCUUUACCUUGAAAAAAUUAGAGUGUUCAAAGCAGGCUUAUGUCUGAAUACAUUAGCAUGGAAUAAUAAAAUAGGACGGUGGUCCUGUUUUGUUGGUUUCUGAAUCACCGUAAUGAUUAAUAGGGAUAGUUGGGGGCAUUAGUAUUCAAUUAUCAGAGGUGAAAUUCUUGGAUUUAUUGAAGACUAACUACUGCGAAAGCAUUUGCCAAAGGAUGUUUUCAUUAAUCAAGAACGAAAGUUAGGGGAAUCGAAGACGAUCAGAUACCGUCUCAGUCUUAACCAUAAACUAUGCCACUAGGGAUCGGACCGAUGUUAAACUUUUUCUUGAACCCCGUUCGGCGCCU